rnacentral:rRNA from 1 species
UACGUAGGUGGCAAGCGUUGUCCGGAAUUAUUGGGCGUAAAGCGCGCGCAGGUGGUUCCUUAAGUCUGAUGUGAAAGCCCACGGCUCAACCGUGGAGGGUCAUUGGAAACUGGGGAACUUGAGUGCAGAAGAGGAAAGUGGAAUUCCAAGUGUAGCGGUGAAAUGCGUAGAGAUUUGGAGAAACACCAGUGGCGAAGGCGACUUUCUGGUCUGUAACUGACACUGAGGCGCGAAAGCGUGGGGAGCAAACAGG